GACGAACGCUGGCGGCGUGCUUAACACAUGCAAGUCGAACGGUAAGGCUCCAGCUUGCUGGGGUACACGAGUGGCGAACGGGUGAGUAACACGUGGGUGACCUGCCCUGCACUUCGGGAUAAGCCUGGGAAACUGGGUCUAAUACCGGAUAGGACCGCACCGUGAGGGUGUGGUGGAAAGUUUUUUCGGUGUGGGAUGGGCCCGCGGCCUAUCAGCUUGUUGGUGGGGUAAUGGCCUACCAAGGCGGCGACGGGUAGCCGGCCUGAGAGGGUGGACGGCCACAUUGGGACUGAGACACGGCCCAGACUCCUACGGGAGGCAGCAGUGGGGAAUAUUGCACAAUGGGCGGAAGCCUGAUGCAGCGACGCCGCGUGGGGGAUGACGGCCUUCGGGUUGUAAACUCCUUUCACCAUCGACGAAGGGUUUCUGACGGUAGAUGGAGAAGAAGCACCGGCUAACUACGUGCCAGCAGCCGCGGUAAUACGUAGGGUGCGAGCGUUGUCCGGAAUUACUGGGCGUAAAGAGCUCGUAGGUGGUUUGUCGCGUCGUCUGUGAAAUUCCGGGGCUUAACUCCGGGCGUGCAGGCGAUACGGGCAUAACUUGAGUACUGUAGGGGAGACUGGAAUUCCUGGUGUAGCGGUGAAAUGCGCAGAUAUCAGGAGGAACACCGGUGGCGAAGGCGGGUCUCUGGGCAGUAACUGACGCUGAGGAGCGAAAGCAUGGGGAGCGAACAGGAUUAGGUACCCUGGUAGUCCAUGCCGUAAACGGUGGGCGCUAGGUGUGGGUUUCCUUCCACGGGAUCCGUGCCGUAGCUAACGCAUUAAGCGCCCCGCCUGGGGAGUACGGCCGCAAGGCUAAAACUCAAAGGAAUUGACGGGGGCCCGCACAAGCGGCGGAGCAUGUGGAUUAAUUCGAUGCAACGCGAAGAACCUUACCUGGGCUUGACAUAUACAGGAUCGCGCCAGAGAUGGUGUUUCCCUUGUGGCUUGUAUACAGGUGGUGCAUGGUUGUCGUCAGCUCGUGUCGUGAGAUGUUGGGUUAAGUCCCGCAACGAGCGCAACCCUUGUCUUAUGUUGCCAGCACGUUGUGGUGGGGACUCGUAAGAAACUGCCGGGGUUAACUCGGAGGAAGGUGGGGAUGACGUCAAAUCAUCAUGCCCCUUAUGCCCAGGGCUUCACACAUGCUACAAUGGUCGGUACAGUGGGUUGCCAGUCCGUGAGGGCGAGCUAAUCCCGCAAAGCCGGUCUCAGUUCGGAUCGGGGUCUGCAACUCGACCCCGUGAAGUCGGAGUCGCUAGUAAUCGCAGAUCAGCAACGCUGCGGUGAAUACGUUCCCGGGCCU
rnacentral:rRNA from 1 species